GGGCUGUCGGGAAUACUGCAUAGCUAGGGAGUGGGAGAGGUAGACGGUACUCCAUAGGAAGGGGUAAAAUCCUUUGAUCUAUGGAAGACCACCUGUGGCGAAGGCGGUCUACCAGAACACGUUCGACGGUGAGGGAUGAAAGCUGGGGGAGCAAACCGGAUUAGAUACCCGGGUAGUCCCAGCUGUAAACUAUGCAAACUCGGUGAUGCACUGGCUUGUGGCCAGUGCAGUGCCGCAGGGAAGCCGUUAAGUUUGCCGCCUGGGAAGUACGUACGCAAGUAUGAAACUUAAAGGAAUUGGCGGGGGAGCACCACAAGGGGUGAAGCCUGCGGUUCAAUUGGAGUCAACGCCAGAAAUCUUACCCGGAGAGACAGCAGAAUGAAGGUCAAGCUGAAGACUUUACCAGACAAGCUGAGAAGUGGUGCAUGGCCGUCGCCAGCUCGUGCCGUGAGGUGUCCUGUUAAGUCAGGUAACGAGCGAGAUCCCUGCCUCUAGUUGCCACCAUUACUCUCAGGAGUAGUGGGGCGAAUUAGCGGGACUGCCGCAGUUAAUGCGGAGGAAGGAGGGGGCCACGG
rnacentral:rRNA from 1 species